GGCUAAUUAAAAUAGUUGUGAAGCAUCAUGGCGCAGGACAUAGCCUAUCGGUCACUCUUUCCACUGAGAAUAAACGAAACCUAAAAUUAACACCUGAUUGUGGAUGAAUUUACCGACAGGUCCGAAGAGUGCAACUAAAAUGAACACCAGGCAUUUCCUGAAGCCAUUAAAGCAGAGGAGGUGUGAAGUAUAUUAAUGAAAGAGGAUGCAUCCCACCUCACAAGGUCUGCAAAGGCUUGCAUCUAAUGUGAUGGAUAAAGCAUUCAAAAAGCAUCCAUAAAGACUACAGUGGCACAGAGCCCUCUGGCCUGUACAACUGAUUGACCAGCAUGACAGCAAAACAGCAUCUACUAUUGAUAUCCUGGUAGGUAGCAAAUUUUGGGGCUGCUGUUUAGUUGAAUAAUGGUAUUCGGCAUCAGCUCCCAUUCCGCAAUAACGUUAUUUGCUAGGGAUGAUUUUAUGUGAUGACUCUAAAUCAAAUAAAACUAGCAGAAAUAAGUUUUUCUCUCAUCACAGUGACGGAUGCAUUCUCUUUAUCUUCACAAUACAUGAGUAAAAGAAUCAUACUAUCAUUUAUUUCAUUAGCUUAAUGAUGUGUGAGAGUUUUUGUCUAAAUCUAGUGACUGGCCUCACUGCCAUUGUCACCCAAACAACCUUACAGUUGGACCUCAUAUGAGAAACAAUAACAUAAUAUUGCUUUAAAAUAUUUAUGUUUUUAAGAAAACCUUAUUGACUAUAAUUGAAUGGCUGAAUAUGAAUCUUUAAUUACACUUCUUGUGAUAAAUGGCUUGAUGGCUCACUGUUUUUACUUGAUCACUGUUUUUAAUAUGCAAUUAAAGGAGCUGGUGAUAAUUGCUUAAGGUUUUCAGGAGUGCUUUUUUAGAUAUUAGAUUUUAGAAACAAUCUGUGUUGAAAAAAAAAAAAACUUUCAAAACGGGCACUUACUAAUCAAGAAUUGUGAAAUGACGCAACAGUUGAUAUUACUUUCAGUCUGCCAUAAAACUUUUUUUUUUUUUUUUUCUGUGGCAAUCUGUCCUUAGAACAGGGGAUUUUCACUCACACAGUAUUUCAAGUCUGAAAAGGUGAAAAGCACUGAUUUCUGAGAAGGCACACGAUGUACUUUUAUUAAAAGGAACUCUCUCCCUCUUUCGCUGGCAUUCUAUCAAAGAAAAGCCCUAGCUGAUUGCAUUGUACAAGCACCCAUAAUUCUACACACUAUAGCAGCAUUUUUUAGACAAGGUAGGGAGGAAAAAUGUCUUCUUCCUGCUCCUCUUCUUCAGUGGCUGAAAGUCUACAACA